rnacentral:hammerhead_ribozyme from 1 species
AUCCAGCUGACGAGUCCCAAAUAGAACGAAAUGCACAUCAAACUAGAU